AGGGAUGUAGUUAAGUAUAACAUUUGAUUUGCACUCAAAAAGUACCAUUCUUGGUCUUCCUCA
rnacentral:tRNA from 1 species